ensembl:lncRNA
GGGGGCGGUGCUCCGCCUUCUUAAGGGCGCGCGGCCGGGCCGAGGCGCAGCUCGCGGACAGCUGUUCGCGUAAGACUCUGCUAACGGCCUUUGUGUUCCGUUCUUUUUCCUUUUUAUUUUUCAUUUUAAGUGGGGCAGCUGUAUUCAUUCUCUCCGAUCGCCCCCAUCCUUGCCUUCGGCGGGAUUCAGAAGUCAGUUUAUUUUACAGAUUUUAUCAUUACUGCAGGCGCGCGCGCGGGUUGUGUGUGUGUGGGGGGGGUUCCAUGUAAUUUAAUGUGGAACUUUUGAAACCUGCACACACGUGAACCGUAAGAGAAAGCUGCAGAGAUGCUGAGACAUUUACACACGCACGUGCACACACACUCCUCCGCGUCCGGGUCCCGGCCAGACCAUCGAAAGGUACGGCCCUUGCACCAGGGUCGUUUGGAAAUUGACAGAAAUCUCAUCAACAGGAUCAAUUUCUUAGGCAGUAAAAAAAAUAAUAACAGCCUUAAACCCGAGAGCCCUGGUGAACAGUUCCAUCAGGCCGCAGUCACAGCACGCGGAGAGACUCCCGUCGGGCGCGGUCCGCGCUCCGCCUGGCGCUCUGUGUGCGCUAAGUGUCCGAGCAGCCCCGCUGCCCCACGCCGGACUUCGCGAGCGACCUUAACGGUGGCGCAACGCAGCCUUCGGCCACCAGAGGCAACCGGCGUCAGCGGCUAGUCAAAAACUGGCGCUUUUUUCCUGCUUUCCGUGUAGAGACUAUCAACUCCAUCUGUCACAAAAUCAAGGCUAAAUCUCCCCAGAGGCGGAGGGAGCCGGGCUCCCGCGCGCUCAGAGCUGGGCUGGUUGCUCUCCCCCAAGGCCGAGGGGGUCUGGGAGGGCGGGAGUCAGAGCCGCAGCCACGGGGGUGUGUUGCUGCAGAAAGUGCCCCGUGCGUACGGAGGUGCCCAGCCUCGGGGCGCCAGGGCAGCGGGAACCCGGGCUCUGCGAGCUGCAGCGCAAAGCCGAACCUCGCAGAGCCAGGCUGAGAAAUGACAGAUGGAAAAGAUAAUGUAGUCCUUGGCCAGAGCCACCUUGAGAAUCGCUGUGCUAUAUAUACUUGCAAAAAGAAGUGUGAACACAGUUACUUCGUUUGGCUUUGGAGGAGUGCCAUAAGUGACAUAAAUAAUAACUACGGAAAUGAAAAUGGAAGUCUUCAGAUGGAGCCCUAAGAGGAAAAGGGCAUUUACUUCUUGCUUACUCGGUGUGUUGUUGUUGGUAAACAUAAUCCUUUGAGAACUGCCAACUGUCUCAAGUCCAGAAGGUGACAAACAGGAGAAUGAGAACCAAUGUGCUGAUGAUGGUAGCAGGGGUGGCUACAAGGAGUCAGGAUCCUUGGUGACAUCGUGUAAUUACUGACCUUACUGACUGACUCUAUGAUGCUCGUUCCCGACCUGUUUGAUGAGAAAUAACAUCUGGAAAGAGCCAAAGAAGUACCUGCAUUUAGUAAGCACUUGGCAAUCACACAGCUCACAUUUGUUACAGUUGUUGAUCUAUAGGCUCUCUGAGAAGCAAUGGGGUCCUCAGCAAAGAGAAGCAUCCUCAGGGUACAGUCAUGAUGUGCAGGAUGAACAUUUCAGUUUCCAGUCUUGUCAUAGAGGGCAGCCAUGAUUCCCUACCCGUGUUCCUGAUGGCCACAUAUCUGGCAAAGUAUGGAGUUGGGCUUAUUGCUGUAUGUAAGUGUUUAUUCUAUCAGGCAGACUUGUAUAAAGGGAAGUUUAAAUUCUUUGCAACAAGCCCCUUGGGAACUUCUGUCAUUGUCCCUGAAUAUUUUCCCAUCCUCCCUCUAUACAAAUAAUUUCACAUUUCUUUUCUGAGGCUUCUCUCUGUAACCCUCAUUUAUUAUCUUUUUUUAUUAUCCAGUGUAUCAUCUCUCAAUUCAUGCACAUUUUUAUUCUUUCAUUUAUUCAUUCCUUGAGAGUACUGAGCACCAGGAACGGAGUUGCUACAGGAGAGCUAAAGAGCCAGCUCCAGGUCUUAGAUUCAGACAAGCUUGGAUAUAGGAGCUGGAAACAGCUUUAGAGUUUAUGCUACUGAGCAAUCACUCAUUUUGGAGAUGAUUUUUAAUCACUUACCUGAAGCAGGAGAAGGUUCAAUGUAGCUUGCAGUUUUACGCACCAAUGGGAGUUAUCGUUUGAAAUAUUAUUUCUACUGAAGAACACAGGAUGAGACACUCAACUCUGGAUGGCAACAGAGCUCUGGAUAGUGAUUCAAAUGCCUCAUUGUUUCUCUGCAACAAGACAACUUGGGAAAGGAUUUUAAAGACACUGUGACCAUUGUAGGGAACUGCAGAACCCCAGGUUUUGUCAGAGUGAAAAUGCCCACAGGAGAUCAAAGAAAAUUGUCCUCAGAGUGGCGUCCACCAGGCCAUCCACUGAAAAGUGACCCACUGCUGUGCCACGGCUCCUUCUCAGACGUUGAGUUGGAGCCAGCUGGUGUCUGGAAGGUACCUCCUAUUUCACCUUCUGGUCUCUGUUGAAGGCUGACUGCAUGCGAUUAGGGGAAGCAGACACAGAUUUUGUGUUAAGCCCAGGAUGUAGCUUGUUGAAUGAAUAGCAACUGACUUGAAAAUUGGAUGAAUGGAUUCUGCUCCCCCCCCCCCCACCAUACGUAUUCAAAUUAGUGUUUGCUGUUUCUGUUGUUGGGAAGGAUGCAUUGCUGGGAAGGAAGUUCGAGAGAUAGUAAGGACUUUAGGGAUGCUAAUCAGAUUUUGAGUAGAAUGAAGGUUUUACCCAGACAUGUACGUCAUCUAAUUAGGGUAGCAAAAAAAUCACUGUGAAAUGAGA